UGGAAAUUGAGUUUCUUAUCGCGCAAAUUCAAAGUAUCGGAGUUAUUCAAAAAUUGUAUUCAAUAACCUGCGUUUCACAGCAAGUGCAGCCGUUGCUAGUAAGUUUUGCGUGCGAGGUUCUCUGUGUGUCCGUCAACGUUUGGCUGGUGCAGUCCACUGGGAAUUACAUCUGCAUCGAUUUAUUUGGUGAAGUGCAGCCGUUGCAUACUUACAAGAUCAUUUGUAUGUCCGUCCACGUUCGCUGGUGAGGGUAUUUUCACCACUGCAGCCUUUGGUUUGGUCAAGUGGAGAAUUUGCAUACUUACAAGUCAGGAUCAUCUGUGUGUCCGUCCACCAAAUGAAAUUCAACUUAAGAUAUUGAACAUG